rnacentral:miRNA from 1 species
GACUUAGCUGAACACAAAUAUUAGUGAUUCACAACAGUAAAACAUAUCACAGCGAUGAUAUUGUCAGUGAAAGUUACUUUUUUUGCAUUUUUCACACACAAACAGCACUUUUACUGAUGAUAUAAUUGUUGUGAUACGUUUUCCAGUUUUUUAAACACUAAUAUUUGUGUUCAGCGAUGUC